UAUCUGAAGUCUGACGAGGAUGAGAACCUCCGGGGGCAAGAGGUUCGACCCGAGCGAAGCGAGAGAACGUUGCGUCAGCAACGGCCCGCAGGGCGAGCCACGCAGUGGCGAGUCAUCCUCUAUCACCGACCA
rnacentral:sRNA from 2 species